UUAGAAAGUUUAUGUUUUUUGCUUCGACUCCCAAACGGUUUAUUUUCCAAGGCUACAUUAUUUCUAAGGCAGGGUUGGGGGAAUAAAGUGUUUUGGUUUUGACCAUGACUGCAUUGAUUCUGGCCAGUGUCCUUACGAGUUAUGUGUGGCUCCAAGACCUUUAGAAGUAAACUCAGGAACCAGAUGUGAUGGUAGAGGAUAGAGAGGCAGAAAGACAGGGGUUGUAUGUUUGAGAACAGUCUGGACUUCGCAGGCAGACCCUCCAUCUCAGCAUGUGUGAGCACUACAGCAGUUAUUUAUUUUAGGGUUGGUUUUCUGGUUUGGGUUUUGGGUUUGGUUUGGUUUGGUUUGGUUUGGUUUGGUUUGGUCUGGUCUGGUCUGGUCUGGUCUGGUCUGGUCUGGUUUGAUCUGGCUUGGUUUGGUUUGGUUUUGGAGACAGAAUCUCACAAUGUAGCCUAGGCUGAAUUCAAAUCUGUGAACCUCCUGCUUCAGCCUCCCCAGUGCUUAGAUAACAAUCACCACUCCCACAAUCUUUGCUAAUACUUGUUUUGGUAACCUGGGUAGGAAGGACAUUCAUGUGAGAGUCCCGGGUUAUGUCUCUUUCUUUACUUCUAUUCUCUAUUAGCUACCCAGCAUUCCUACACUCAAUCAGAAGGCACAUGAUUGCCGAAUUGGUUAUAUACACAGCCCAGACGUUGUGCACAGCCCUACCUUCUGAGUAGGUCCUAGGGUUCCCAGUCCACAUCACUUAGCCUAGCCCGGACUCUUGUCCUCAAGACUAGAGAACUCUGACAAUGGCUUUGGAUUCUAGAAGUACUUGUAAACAGAAUCCACUCGGGCACCCUCCCACGUAACACCGUUUAAGCCUCUUCUACACCAACCCGACACCUGAUACAAUCAAUGCAAAGCCGUUAGCUAGAAUUGAGGAAAUCUGACCCUUGAUAUUUGAAAAUGACCCUGUUUGUAUUCUGAAUCCCUUGAAGUCUUUUCAAUAAAGAAGGGUAUUUGACUGUUCUCGAGCUGCCACUGCUUAUAGAAGCAACUGCAUCGUAUUAUCCGUUCCGUCUACAGACCUGCCAAGAACGAUGGGUUGGAGGACAGAGCCACUUAUUUGAUUCUGAGAAUAUGUUUAUUCUGUGAACACUAAUGGAAAAAAAAAUAGCAAAACUACCACAUGUCACCUCUCAGACUGAGGUGACCCUGCUGACUAGAAAGCAGAUGCGCAUUGCGUUGCUGGCUUCUUGUAACAGCUACAAGCAUCGAAACAUCUUAAUGAAUUCAAAGUCUGGAGCUGUUCCCUGUCUGUCUGUCGGUGAUUCUUAUUUAAAUAGCAAACCCUGUUUAAUUGGCUCCAAAGGUAAUCAGGCUAGACACAUUUGGGGUGCUAACCGACAAAGGAGAGGCAAAUAAAUUACAAAGAAAAAAUCUGAAUUUCUCUAGAUCCCAAUAAAAGUAAGAAAAAAUUUCAUUCUGCUGUGUGUACAUGCUUUAAAACGUAUCUUUCACUCGAAACCAUAUGCUGGGGGAAUUACUUUUAUAUCUGGGGAUGAACCUGAACCCAACAUUGGUAUUUUCUUUCCAAAUCUUAGUAGUCCUUCAAAAUGGCUAACGAAAAAACAACAACAAACAAACAAACAAACAAACAAAAAGAAUGACUAAACUGAGGUGGAAUUCAACAUUUCAGCCUGAAUAUUCAGCCCAGCCAAAUCUUCAGGCUCUGAAUUAAUAAACUCAUUCCGUCUGACUUGAUUUUAGGGUCACAUUGAGCCAAAACCAACUUCCGGGGCUUGGGAGCCUUGCUUUGAACAGAAGGCUGUUUGCUUGUUCCCAGUGGGAAUACAUUAUGCUGAGUGAUGGCUUCCUGUUUGUCCUGGAGGGGCCUCCCUGGCCUGAAAGAAGUCACAAUUUGGGUCAGCUCUCUCUGCAGGGGCCAUUCCUGACAGCUUUCUUGGGAUAAAUGAGAUCUGAAACAUCGGGCUUUCAGUAUAUGAAAAGGUCUUGGCACAAAGCCCCCGUCUCUCUACAGAGGGCUCUGACUUUGAAAAUGCCCUGCAUGCUGCAGUUUUUCCCCAGCCCACAGGGACUCCUGCUGGGGCAUCUUGCUAGGAGGUCCACGUGCUCCCGUGCUCCCCACGUGGAUAGAUUAGAUGUCUGUGGGAGGACUGCCCAGAAACUGUUGCACCUUCUGAAAUGACAAUGCAAGGUGCCGAAGGGUAAAAAUAGCCCUGGAUCAACACAUGAGUCAAUGGCUGUAUUUAACCAAUCUUCUGUUAGGGAACAAAAAAGCCUUAAAAUGCCACCAUGCUGAAAAUAACGGGCAAUUAAAGCACACCGAACCGAACCCAUGAUAUGACUUGUGGCAGCCAAGUGUUCUCCAGAAGCCUCCUUCUUGGAGAGCUAAUUGCACGGGGUUUCCAGUCUUUAGCUUCCCCCUCAGGUUUCCUACUGAGCCCUUUACUCUUUUAUAUUUGAGAAGCAUAGAUUCACCCAGGCACCCAGGGCAAUACUAUUACUGCCUGUCAUUUCUGAUCAUUU
rnacentral:lncRNA from 1 species